CAGCACUGCACCUUUAUGUUGCUCAUGCCAGCUUCCCUCCCAAAUCUGGCUGGAAACAUUCCUGCAUUCCCCAUGAGGUCAGCUUGUACCUGCUGAGGGCUUGGCCCCAUUUUAUAGAGCUUUUCCAUGAGGUGUGCCCUGGGAAUGCCCUCCCCUGGGCUGUGGCAACAGUGCUUGGAGAUGAGCAGUGCUGGUGCCUUCAGGAGGCUGAGCAAGUUGAGGUGCUGGGUGAUUUGCACCUGGAAUUUCUGUUCUUUUCUGCUCCUUGCUGGGGUUUGGAGGAAGCAAAAUGUUGCCCUCCGCUGUUUGCAGCGUUGCUGGAACAGAGAACUCGCUGCGUCCGAGCCAGUCCAGUGCUUUACUCCAGUGUCACAUCCCUGGCACUGGUCAGGGGAUUUGGAGAGAGACGACUCCCACCCAGCCCACAGAUGCUGCAAAGACCUGAAAAAGGUCCCAUCACCCUCCCUGAGCCACCAGGAGUGACAUCCUUCCACUCUUAGGGUGAGCUGCUCCUGCCCUGGCACCUCAGCCUGGGACUGAGACCUGGGGGUUGGCCAUGGAUCACCCGGUUGUCUUCACACUGAGGUGGGUCCAACCAAGACCAACCUCCUCACAUGUCGUGUUUCACAAGAAAACAAAGCAAAGCAGCUCAGUUGUGCAUCCUUGGUCCAAAUUCCUCAUUUUUCCCUUCUCUUUUUUCUUGGUGACUCUUCAAGCUCCUUCUGGUAACUUUAGAGCUAUGCUGGCAAAAUUGUCCCCCUGCUCCUCCUUGCUAGAGAUGCAACACAGAUGGAUUCAUGCCUUUUAUAGACCUUCAACAUCUGAGUGCUGGGAGUAUUAAACCAGUUAGUGGAGGGAGUGACUACUUUUUUUUGUAGAUGUGGAAACUGAGGCAUAGGCUACUUGUCCAGGUGAAAAGAAAUCAGAUUUUAGGGCCAAGGGACACAAUUUCACUUGGAAACCUUUGCUGCAUCAGCUUCCCUGGCAUUUCUUGAGAUGUUUCCGCAAGGGAGGAGACCCUUUCUCCUUUCUUCUUGCCCAGAAAGGAUCAGAAGUCAGGGACAGAGCUGACAACAUGGCACCAUGGACCCAUGACCUCCCUUCUUGUACAAGGGGCAGCAGGCAGAAAUAAAACACAGUUCAGGGCUGGUGGAGCUGGAGGA
rnacentral:lncRNA from 1 species